AAAGUCGUAACAAGGUUUCCGUAGGUGAACCUGCGGAAGGAUCAUUACCGAGUGUAGGGUUCCUAGCGAGCCCAACCUCCCACCCGUGUUUACUGUACCUUAGUUGCUUCGGCGGGCCCGCCAUUCAUGGCCGCCGGGGGCUCUCAGCCCCGGGCCCGCGCCCGCCGGAGACACCACGAACUCUGUCUGAUCUAGUGAAGUCUGAGUUGAUUGUAUCGCAAUCAGUUAAAACUUUCAACAAUGGAUCUCUUGGUUCCGGCAUCGAUGAAGAACGCAGCGAAAUGCGAUAACUAGUGUGAAUUGCAGAAUUCCGUGAAUCAUCGAGUCUUUGAACGCACAUUGCGCCCCCUGGUAUUCCGGGGGGCAUGCCUGUCCGAGCGUCAUUGCUGCCCAUCAAGCACGGCUUGUGUGUUGGGUCGUCGUCCCCUCUCCGGGGGGGACGGGCCCCAAAGGCAGCGGCGGCACCGCGUCCGAUCCUCGAGCGUAUGGGGCUUUGUCACCCGCUCUGUAGGCCCGGCCGGCGCUUGCCGAACGCAAAUCAAUCUUUUCCAGGUUGACCUCGGAUCAGGUAGGGAUACCCGCUGAACUUAAGCAUAUCAAUAAGCGGAGGAAAA
rnacentral:rRNA from 1 species